rnacentral:rRNA from 1 species
UACAGAGACCUCAAACGUUGUCCGGAUUUAUUGGGCGUAAAGGGUCCGCAGGUGGUUUGGCGCGUCACGGGUCAAAUGUUUGGGCUCAACCCGAACACUGCUCGUGAUACGGCCGGACUAGAGGCUGGGAAAGGUACGCGGAAUUACCGGUGUAGUAGUAAAAUGCGUUAAUAUCGGUAAGAACACCAAAUGCGUAGGCAGCGUACUGGAACAGUCCUGACACUCAGGGACGAAAGCGUGGGGAGCGAAAGGG